rnacentral:tRNA from 1 species
GCUCCGGUAGCUCAGUGGAUAGAGCAGCGGUUUCCUAAACCGUUGGUCGGCGGUUCAAGUCCGCCCCGGGGUACCA